UUCGGUGUAAAGGAUAGUAUAAGUGUCGACUUUUCGUCUUGAUGAUCACUUUGGGCAAGGAUAGUAACACAUUGUGUGGUUACACACUAGGAGGCAACAUAAAUGGAACAAGGUACAGUUAAAUGGUUUAAUUCAGACAAAGGUUUUGGUUUUAUCGAGCGUGCUAAUGGAGGCGACGUAUUCGUACACUUCUCAGCUAUCCAAAGUGAAGGUUUCAAAUCUUUAGACGAAGGUCAAAAGGUAACAUUUGACGUUGAGCAAGGACCUCGUGGAGAUCAAGCAGCUAACGUUCAAAAAGCUUAAUCUAAAUAAAAUUGUACAAACAGGCCCUAUUUCAUAGAGCCUGUUUUU
rnacentral:other from 1 species